rnacentral:rRNA from 1 species
AAUGGAGUGAAGUUGUUGAUGCCCUGCUUCCAGGAAAAGCUUCUAAACUUAUGAUUAUAUGAACCGUACCCCAAACCGACACAGGUGGUCAGGUAGAGAAUACUAAGGCGCUUGAGAGAACUCGGGUGAAGGAACUCGGCAAAAUUGUACCGUAACUUCGGGAGAAGGUACGCCUCUGUUUGUGAACACUUCGCGUGGUAAGCAAAUGGAGGCCGCAGUGACCAGGUGGCUG